rnacentral:rRNA from 1 species
GACGAACGCUGGCGGCGCGCCUAACACAUGCAAGUCGAACGAGUGGAACCCCUUCGGGGGUGAAGCUAGUGGCAGACGGGUGAGUAACACGUGGGUAACCUACCUUAUAGUUGGGGAUAACAGUUGGAAACGACUGCUAAUACCGAAUGAUACUUACGAACGGCAUCGUUUGUAAGUCAAAGAUUUAUCGCUGAAAGGUGGCCUCGCGUCUGAUUAGCUAGUUGGUGGGGUAACGGCCCACCAAGGCGACGAUCAGUAGCCGGACUGAGAGGUUGACCGGCCACAUUGGGACUGAGAUACGGCCCAGACUCCUACGGGAGGCAGCAGUGGGGAAUAUUGGGCAAUGGGCGCAAGCCUGACCCAGCAACGCCGCGUGAAGGAAGAAGGCCUUCGGGUUGUAAACUUCUUUUACCAGGGACGAAUAAUGACGGUACCUGGAGAAAAAGCAACGGCUAACUACGUG